AGAGUUUGAUCCUGGNUNAGCCCCUNUAAAGGGGGGGGGNCUAACACAUGCAAGUCGAACGNCCNUAGUGNAGCAAUCCAUGAGUACAGUGGCGUACGGGUGAGUAACACGUGGGUGAUCUACCUUUUAGUGAGGAAUAACCGAGGGAAACUUCGGCUAAUACCGCAUAAGCCUGAGAAGGGAAAGUCGAAAGACGCUGAAAGAGGAGCCCGCGGCCGAUUAGCUAGUUGGUGAGGUAAGAGCCCACCAAGGCAGAGAUCGGUAGCCGGCCUGAGAGGGCACACGGCCACACUGGCACUGAAACACGGGCCAGACUCCUACGGGAGGCAGCAGUGGGGAAUCUUGCACAAUGGGGGAAACCCUGAUGCAGCGACGCCGCGUGAGCGAUGAAGCCCUUCGGGGUGUAAAGCUCUUUCGUCAGGGAAGAUAGUGACGGUACCUGGAGAAGCAGCUGCGGCUAACUACGUGCCAGCAGCCGCGGUAAUACGUAGGCAGCAAGCGUUGUUCGGAGUUACUGGGCGUAAAGGGUGUGUAGGCGGUUCUUUAAGUUUGCUGUGAAAUCUCCCGGCUUAACCGGGAGGGUGCGGUGAAUACUGAGGGACUAGAGUACGGGAGAGGAAAGUGGAAUUCCUGGUGUAGCGGUGAAAUGCGUAGAUAUCAGGAGGAACACCGGUGGUGUAGACGGCUUUCUGGACCGACACU
rnacentral:rRNA from 1 species